GAUGAACGCUGGCGGCGUGCUUAACACAUGCAAGACGAACGGUGAAGGCGGAGCUUGCUCUGCUGGAUCAGUGGCGAACGGGUGAGUAACACGUGAGCAAUCUGCCCCUGACUCUGGGAUAAGCGCUGGAAACGGCGUCUAAUACUGGAUACGAGCUGCGAAGGCAUCUUCAGCAGCUGGAAAGAAUUUCGGUCAGGGAUGAGCUCGCGGCCUAUCAGCUUGUUGGUGAGGUAAUGGCUCACCAAGGCGUCGACGGGUAGCCGGCCUGAGAGGGUGACCGGCCACACUGGGACUGAGACACGGCCCAGACUCCUACGGGAGGCAGCAGUGGGGAAUAUUGCACAAUGGGCGAAAGCCUGAUGCAGCAACGCCGCGUGAGGGACGACGGCCUUCGGGUUGUAAACCUCUUUUAGCAGGGAAGAAGCGAAAGUGACGGUACCUGCAGAAAAAGCGCCGGCUAACUACGUG
rnacentral:rRNA from 1 species